CGCAGCCGCGGUAAUUCCAGCUCCAAUAGCGUAUAUUAAAGUUGUUGCAGUUAAAAAGCUCGUAGUUGAAUUUCGGGAUCAAUAUUUCGGUCAUGCCGUUGGUAUGCACUGUUAUCAUUGAUUUCUCACCUUCUAAAGAACCGUAAUGCCAUUAAUUUGGUGUUACGGGGAAUUAGGGCUGUUACCUUGAAAAAUUAGAGUGUUUAAAGCAGGCUCACGCUUGAAUACAUUAGCAUGGAAUAAUGAAAUAGGACAUCCGAUUCUAUUUUGUUGGUUUCUAGGAUCGAUGUAAUGAUUAAUAGGGAUAGUUGGGGGCAUUAGUAUUCAAUUGUCAGAGGUGAAAUUCUUGGAUUUAUUGAAGACUAACUACUGCGAAAGCAUUUGCCAAGGAUGUUUUCAUUAAUCAAGAACGAAAGUUAGGGGAUCGAAGACGAUCAGAUACCGUCGUAG
rnacentral:rRNA from 1 species